UGGGGAAUAUUGCACAAUGGGCGAAAGCCUGAUGCAGCAACGCCGCGUGAGCGAUGAAGGCCUUCGGGUCGUAAAGCUCUGUCCUCAAGGAAGAUAAUGACGGUACUUGAGGAGGAAGCCCCGGCUAACUACGUGCCAGCAGCCGCGGUAAUACGAAGGGUGCAAGCGUUACUCGGAAUUACUGGGCGUAAAGCGUGCGUAGGUGGUGGUUUAAGUCUGUUGUGAAAGCCCUGGGCUCAACCUGGGAAUUGCAGUGGAUACUGGAUCACUAGAGUGUGGUAGAGGGUGGCGGAAUUCCCGGUGUAGCAGUGAAAUGCGUAGAGAUCGGGAGGAACACCCGUGGCGAAGGCGGCCACCUGGGCCAACACUGACACUGAGGCACGAAAGCGUGGGGAGCAAACAGGAUUAGAUACCC
rnacentral:rRNA from 1 species